rnacentral:rRNA from 1 species
UACGGGGGGGGCAAGCGUUGUUCGGAAUUACUGGGCGUAAAGGGCUCGUAGGUGGCCAACUAAGUCGGACGUGAAAUCCCUCGGCUUAACCGGGGAACUGCGUCCGAUACUGGUUGGCUUGAGUUUGGGAGAGGGAUGCGGAAUUCCAGGUGUAGCGGUGAAAUGCGUAGAUAUCUGGAGGAACACCGGUGGCGAAGGCGGCAAUCCUGGACCAAUACUGACGCUGAGGAGCGAAAGCCAGGGAGCAAACGGGAUAGAA